rnacentral:lncRNA from 1 species
UUUCCUUGAAGCAGCAGUCUCCUGUCAGUUCCUUAUGGAAAUCUACAGAGUAGUUCUUUUUGUUUUGUUUUGUUUUCCAAACUGCCUCAAAAGAAUGCUUCCUCUGUUGACAAAAUCUGAAGCUCCCCACCCUCCACCCCUUCUGCAGUUGUCUGGUUAGGCGCCCCACAGAAACAAUCUGGAAAGAAUUGAGGCCCCUCUGGAGGUUUCCUUGGCAAAAACUUUCCACCUUUUCAGGCCAGCCCACUUGGUUCGGAGGCGAUCUCAAUCGGGCAGCGAAUGUCACUCCUUGCUACCUCUGGUGAACAAAGGAUGCACCUCCCAGAAAAGCUUCACCUGUCUGCACCACAGCAUGUAAACCUGAAGGACCCUUUCCAUUUCAACAAAGGGGAUGGUUUGGCUUGGCCCUGAGGCCUGACAGCCGUCUAAGGUCAAAGGGAGGAUGUGAACAGUGCUGCCGGACUAGCUCUUGGAGGAAAAGCAGUAUGGAAUUGGUGACUACCACUGCUUCAAAGCAUGCACUGUUGAUGGAGAAAUGGCUGGGCCAGAGAAGAUUCCAUGAGUCAAAACAGCAUAAACUUGGGUGGCUCCCACUGAGAAAAGUUUGUCAGCUGCCUGGCUCCAAAUGUCUGCCAUGCCAUCCACAAGGAUAACUACAUAGUCCUUCACAUCUCCUACUGCAUCCUGUGGACCACUUCAUUGGCCUUCUUCUGUUCUUUGAGAAUCAAAGCAGGGGCUGGGGAUUUAGCUCAGUGGCAAAAGCGCCUGCCUGGCGAGC